UGUCAAAUCGCUCAGUUGGGAGAGCGUUAGACUAUAGAUCGAAGAGUCGUGGUUCGAUCCCUGGUUUCGGCAA
rnacentral:tRNA from 1 species